AAGUCACUUUGAUUGUUUUCAAUAUUAAUAUCUUCAUUUAAAUGAUUUCUCGAUGGAUCAGAUGAAACUUCCUCAGGUUUACCAGAGUUGUCAGUUAUCAGUGAUUGAACAUCUUCACUGCUCAACACUCCAAUAGCAUCAUAUGGAUGAGAGAUUACAGUUUUAUCUUCAUCUAUCUCAACAACUUUCUCUUCUGUCUGCAGAGACUCCUCGUUGUUGUUGGAAUCUACAGAUUUAGGAGCUUUUGGGCUUUUGCCCUUCAACCUUUCAAUUCCCAUCUGCAAUGAUAUUAUUUC
rnacentral:misc_RNA from 1 species